UACAGAGGGGGCAAGCGUUAUUCGGAAUUAUUGGGCGUAAAGGGCGCGUAGGCGGCGAUUCAAGUGACGGGUGAAAUCCCUCGGCUUAACCGAGGAACUGCCUGUCAGACUGGGUUGCUUGAGACCGGGAGAGGCGAGUGGAAUUCCCAGUGUAGCGGUGAAAUGCGUAGAUAUUGGGAGGAACACCAGUGGCGAAGGCGGCUCGCUGGACCGGAACUGACGCUGAGGCGCGAAAGCGGUGGGGAGCAAACAGGG
rnacentral:rRNA from 1 species